rnacentral:lncRNA from 1 species
UCGCAAUGAUUUAUUAGCAAAAAAAGAGAGGAGCGACGCUUCUUUCAAAAAUAUAUUUGCGGAAAAAAACUAUAGAAAAAACCGAAAAUAAGCAAAUACAACAUUUUACGGAAACACUUUACAACAGUGGAUGAAAAGCCGCUUUGAAAUCGUAGAUUAACAGCUGGAGCGGCGGCCGAAUUUGUCAUACAAAGGCGCGAGUUCUAAUCGGUUCGCUUUUGGUUUGUUUAUAUUUGGGACUUGAUAGCCUUGGAAGUGUUAGUAAUGUCUUUAAUAAUGAAAUAUACUGUGCGGUAUCUUUCCGCCGUCGAAAACUCAUUCAUACCAGGGUGGUCACAGUCAUGGCAGGAGCAAUUGAAGGAAGCUUUUCGCUUGAAGAUUUCGAAGCUAAUGUUUUGGAAAACGCAGCGGCUAUGCCUAACCGUGACAAAAUCACAGUGUGCAAAUGUAGAGGGCACUGUCUUCGUGAAAAAGGACGGAAUUUCUGUCCGUGCAGAAGCAUCAAUAGCUUGUGUUCGAGCGCGUGUCAUGGCGAAGACUUUGGCUGUUGCAUGAACAACCGACUUGUUCAAGAAAGCGAUAGUGAUGAGAGUGACUCUGAGUUCACUAUAGAGGAAAGUGAGAAUGAGGGCGAGCAGCAGCUGCAGAUUGAAAAGAGAGGACGUGGUAGGGGAAGAGGUCGUCCAAGGGGGAGAGCAAGAGGUCAGGGAAGAGGGCAAGGUACUGCUUCACAGAGACGUGGAAGGGGAGGUAGUGGAAGAGGUCGUGGAGAGGUAGCGGGAGAGGGCGUUUGUUAGAAGAGCCAAAUAUUGCUGAAAAUCAAGCAGAUCAUGAGCAGCAUUUAGUGGAUCUAGUUGAGGCAAUGAAUAUAGACAACCUGAGAAGGCUUGCUCUUGAAUUGCUAAGAAGACAGCCAGCAGCAUUUGCUGACAUUGUUAAUGGUGAGCUUGUGAGCGGAAAUGAACCCCAACCACCAAACCCAGAACCUGAUAAUGAUGCUCCAGAUUGGUGCAAGUGUGGGUGCUGCAUUAUUAUGCCCACUCAAGAAGAGAACAAAUGCUGCACCCGAUCAAGACGUCCUUGUAUCUCAAGAACAAAUCUUUUCAGUCAACUAAUCCUUGAUGGGAAUGUUUUGGAGAUCUCAAUGCGAUACAGAGAAGAUGUUUUGGUGUUGAACAAUGUCAGGAACAAUGAAAACUUUAGCCAUGCUGCAUAUAGACAGUAUGUUCUAUGGCAACAUGGUAGAUUAGGAAGAGGAAAUAGGAGAGUAGUACCAAGCUGUUGUGUGGUUGCUAUUCGUAACCGUUAUCCUUCACCUAAUGGACAGUACAGGGGAUAUUUGCCUGCACGUGUUUAGAUAAUUUAGCACUUAAAGUAUAAAUGGUGCCCCCAAAAAGUAGACCAAAAUAAACCACAAUCGAUGUUUGUGGGCAUAAAUAUGUUUUUGGUCUGAUGUUAUAGCAGGCCCAAAAAAUAUUAAUGCUCAAAAACAUAAAGUAUAUUAUUAUAUAUUAUAUUAUAUUUAUACAAUGCAAGUGA